rnacentral:snoRNA from 13 species
GGUAAUGAUGACCUUAGGUGAUUCUGAGUGCCAUCGCUGACGCCAUCACCGCAGCGCGCUGACC